rnacentral:misc_RNA from 1 species
UUUUAGAAGUGGACAGUCCCUAAUACUGAAUCUUCCAAGUGUAGGAGGCAAGCCUUUCCUUGGUAAAGAAUGAAGCCUAGGACAAUUAACAAUCUCUAGCUCUUCUAGAGAUGUGAGACUUCGCAGCUGCACGGAUAGGGAUUCCAGAUUUGGGAGUUCUCCAAUAUAAAUAGAUAUUAAAGAUGUAGGCAGCAGACACUUCUCAUUUGGAAAGGAAACAGCAUUUUUGAAGCAUCCACCUGCGAUGCUUAAAUCUCUAAGACAGGUUAGAUUGUGUAAGUUCCACUCUGACAUCGUCAAUUCAAAAUUUCCAGAAUCCCAAAUUUCAAGGGAUGUUAGAUUCGGAAGCAAAUCCCCUUUUGGAAAACAUGCAAGACCAGGACAGCUGCAUAUUGACAGUUCUUGAAGAGAUGUUAGGUUUCCCAUCUGACUAGGUAGAGAUUUCAGAUAGAAGCAAUAGAAGAUAUUCAAUGUUCUGAGGUUGG